rnacentral:lncRNA from 1 species
UGGAGCCAGUCAAAGCCAGGCUGAGGAAAGCAAGUCGACAGGGAACGCCAAGAAAACAGGAUCGACACCAUCAUUUCCAGCCCCAGCCCAGCUCCAGGGAAUCAGCCCAGCAAACACAGACAGCCUGCAGCAGCUGGAGGAGACGGUCAGCUCGGACAACAGUGAAGAACCUGCUAAACACUAAAACACACAGAGAUUAACGCCGCCCGCAGUGAUGAAUUCAUCGAUUCGGCUGGAUGUGACUAAUUACGACAGCACCCUCAGCCGCACGGCUACACCCAGACAUGUGAUUUACCUCGUCU